UACGUAGGGUGCGAGCGUUAAUCGGAAUUACUGGGCGUAAAGCGUGCGCAGGCGGUCUGGUAAGACCGAUGGGAAAUCCCCGGGCUUAACCUGGGAACUGCAUUGGUGACUGGCAGGCUUUGAGUGUGGCAGAGGGAGGUAGAAUUCCACGUGUAGCAGUGAAAUGCGUAGAGAUGUGGAGGAAUACCGAUGGCGAAGGCAGCCUCCUGGGCCAACACUGACGCUCAUGCACGAAAGCGUGGGGAGCAAACAGG
rnacentral:rRNA from 1 species